rnacentral:misc_RNA from 1 species
GAUGAAGAACGUAGCGAAAUGCGAUAAGUAAUGUGAAUUGCAGAAUUCAGUGAAUCAUCGAAUCUUUGAACGCACAUUGCGCCCGCCAGUAUUCUGGCGGGCAUGCCUGUUCGAGCGUCAUUUCAACCAUCAAGCCCCCGGCCUGUGUUGGGGACCUGCGGCUGCCGCAGGCCCUGAAAAGCAGUGGCGGGCUCGCUGUCACACCGAGCGUAGUAGCAUACAUCUCGCUCUGGGCGUGCUGCGGGUUCCGGCCGUUAAACCACCUUCAUAACCCAAGGUUGACCUCGGAUCAGGUAGGAAGACCCGCUGAACUUAAGCAUAUCAAUAAGCGGAGGA